rnacentral:rRNA from 1 species
UUCUCGCCUGCUUCUUGUUCUUUUUGAGUUAAACUCUCUAAAGGAUUCAAUACGGAUGGGCCUUGUUGGUUACUGAGAUCUGCUAAACUCCGAAUGCGCGUUAAGUUGGUGGGGCAGUCAGACAGCGGGGGAUAAGCUUCGUUGUCGAGAGGGAAACAGCCCUGAUCAUCGGUUAAGGUCCCUAAGUGUGUGCUGAGUGGAAAAGGAUGUGUAGUUGCGUUGACAGCCAGGAGGUUGGCUUAGAAGCAGCCACCCUUGAAAGAGUGCGUAAUAGCUUACUGGUCGAGUGAUUGUGCGCCGAUAAUGUAGUGGGGCUUAAGCAUGCCACCGAAACUGUGACUACAACAUUUUUUGUUGUGGGGUAGGGGAGCGUCCUGCAUUGUUGUAGCGGCCUGGUGAUGGGUCGUGUGUGGUGUGGGAGUGAGAAUGCAGGCAUGAGUAGCGAGUCCAGCGUGAGAAUCGCUGGCGCCGAUAAACUAAGGGUUCCAGGGGAAGGUUUAUCCGCCCUGGGUUAGUCGGGUCCUAAGGCGAGGCCGUCAGGCGUAGUCGAUGGUUGAGCAGUUGAUAUUCUGCUACCGGGAUAGGACCGUUUUGUGAUGCUCUUACUUUUGAGCUUGACGCCCUUUUCAGUUUUUGUCUUCCUUCGGGUUGGCAGGGAUUGUUGGGUUUUGGGUUUUUGGUUUGAGUGUUUUAGCUUCGUGGUGACACAGUGAGAUUGCCUGGCGCGGUGGUGGUUUACCGUGUUCAAGCCUGUAGCCUGUCUUCUAGGUUAAAUCCGGGAGGCGUUAAGGGUGAGGGGUGAUGGUGAGGCCCUUUUGGGUCGAUAACAGGGUUGGUCUGUACUGUCGAGAAAAGCUGCGUUGUGAGGUUUUGUUCCGCCCGUACCCUAAACCGACUCUGGUAGUUGGGUAGAGAAUACUAAGGCGAGCGAGUGAAUCGUGGUUAAGGAAUUCGGCAAAUUGCCUCCGUAACUUCGGGAGAAGGAGGCCCCACCCUUUGAAACUGCUUUUCGUGGUUAGGGGGUGUGGGGUGCAAUAGCAAGAUGGAAGCGACUGUUUAUCAAAAACAUAGGUGCGUGCGAAGCCGUAAGGCGAGGUAUACGCACUGACGCCUGCCCGGUGCCGGAAGGUUAAGAGGAGCUGUUAGCUUUGGCGAAGCGGUGAAUUUAAGCCCCGGUAAACGGCGGUGGUAACUAUAACCAUCCUAAGGUAGCGAAAUUCCUUGUCGGGUAAGUUCCGACCUGCACGAAUGGCGUAACGACUUCUGUGCUGUCUUGACCGCGAACUCGGCGAAAUUGCAUUACGAGUAAAGAUGCUCGUUACGCGCAGCAGGACGGAAAGACCCCGGGACCUUUACUAUAGCUUGGUAUUGGUGGCUGGUUGUGUUUGUGUAGGAUAGGUGGGAGACGUUGAAGCAGGAACGCUAGUUUUUGUGGAGUCGGCAAGUGAAAUACCACUCUGAUGUUGCUGGUUAUCUGAACCUGGGCCCAUUAUCUGGGUUAGGGACAGUGCCUGGUGGGUAGUUUAACUGGGGCGGUUGCCUCCUAAAUGGUAACGGAGGCGCUCAAAGGUUUCCUCAUCCUGGUUGGUAAUCAGGGUUCGAGUGUAAGUGCACAAGGAAGCUUGACUGUGACACUGACGGGUGGAGCAGGUACGAAAGUAGGAACUAGUGAUCCGGCAAUGGCUUAUGGAAGCGUUGUCGCUCAACGGAUAAAAGGUACCCCGGGGAUAACAGGCUGAUCUUGCCCAAGAGUCCAUAUCGACGGCAUGGUUUGGCACCUCGAUGUCGGCUCGUCGCAUCCUGGGGCUGGAGUUGGUCCCAAGGGUUGGGCUGUUCGCCCAUUAAAGCGGUACGCGAGCUGGGUUCAGAACGUCGUGAGACAGUUCGGUCCCUAUCCGCUGCGCGCGUUAAGACUUGAAAAAGUCCUGUCCCUAGUACGAGAGGACCGGGAUGGACGAACCUCUGGUGUGCCAGUUGUACCGCCAGGUGCAUGGCUGGUUGGCUAUGUUCGGAAAGGAUAACCGCUGAAAGCAUCUAAGCGGGAAGCCUGCUUUAAGAUGAGGUCUUUUAGGUUCCCAGCAGACUACUGGGUAGAUAGGCCAGAAGUGUACACGUUGUAAAACGCAAAGCUGACUGGUACUAAAGAACCAUUAAAAAACAAAA